ensembl:lncRNA
CAACUAUCAAAAGCCCACCCCUCUCUCGCCGCUACAGGGACUUAACAGAAAGUUCCCCCUUCUCUCUGAGGCCAAUGAAGCUAAAUGAUUUGGAGCAGCCCGUUGAAGGCUCUCUCAACUACUGCAGACCAAAGCCAUUUAGAAGAGAGAUUCUCUUCAAAUGACUCUGCUGCACACGUGUUCUCCGGCAAAGUGCAUGUUGGUCCAACCUGUGAUGAUCCAGGGACCUGAAAGGAUGUUUAACCCUGGCAAAGUUCCUUUAUGAGAUAUCAAGGAGUUUAACUACAGCUUGACCUCCGUGGUAAAAGAGUAGGGAAACGUGGAACCGAGAAAGCGUUUGAUGGCUCUCCUAUAAGAAGAAGGAAAAGAAGAAGAAAUAAAUGAAAACUUCACACAUGCUUCUCCUUUCAUCACAAAAAGCUGGACCAGUCUUCUCGUGGUCAUCGUCUCAGGGGAACAUCAUUUCAGCGACGCCGUUCACGUCUACCUGGGUCUCGGUGCUCGAGAGCGGAUCGUAA